rnacentral:rRNA from 1 species
GGCUGAAAUUCGCCUUCAUGAAGCCGGAAUUGCUAGUAAUGGCAGGUCAGCAUACUGCCGUGAAUACGUUCCCGGGCCUUGUACACACCGCCCGUCCACACCAUGAGAGUUGGGGAUACCCGAAGCCUGUGAGCUAACAGUAAUGGAGCAGCAGUCGAAGGUAGAAUCAAUGAUUGGGGUGAAGUCGUAACAAGGUAAC